GGAGUGGUAGUUCAGUUGGUUAGAAUACCUGCCUGUCACGCAGGGGGGCGCGGGUUCGAGUCCCGUCCAUUCCGCCA
rnacentral:tRNA from 4 species